rnacentral:misc_RNA from 1 species
AACGCACAUUGCGCCCCUUGGUAUUCCGAGGGGCAUGCCUGUUCGAGCGUCAUAAUACCCCAUCCAGCUUGCUGGGUCUUGGGCACCGCCGGGAGGCGGGCCUUAAACACAGUGGCGGUACGGCCGGGCUCUAAGCGUAGUACAUCAUCUCGCUAUAGGGUCCCGGGCGGCACCUGCCAGCAACCCCCCCCAUUUAUUAGGUUGACCUCGGAUCAGGUAGGGAUACCCGCUGAACUUAA